rnacentral:rRNA from 1 species
GCGGCCAAAGAAGGUGAUAGCCCUGUAGUUGGAUGAUGUCGCUCAGCCCUAGAGUAGCGUCGGUGUCGUGAAACCCGGCGUGAACAUGGGGGGUCCACCCUCCAAGGCUAAGUACUACUUGACGACCGAUAGUUAACCAGUAAGGCGACUGAAUGAUGAAAACUACCCCUGCUAGGGGUGUGAAAGAGUAGCUGAAACCAUGUGCUUACACAGCGGUCAGAGCC